CUAGCUAUUGCGUUCUUCGUGGGACCAGCCUAACUAAAGGCCACUGGGCUGGAAUAGCCAACGCCUUCCAACUGCCACUAAGGGAGGUUUUCCGUUCCGUGUUUGGGAUUGGCUGGGACUUCUGGUGCCUCCUGCCAAGGGUGGAGCCAAUGGUUGGGCAGCCCAGAAGGCUCCAAGCAUGCGCACUUGAGCUCGAGCUCUUGCGUCGUCUGUUCAUCAGUGCAGUUAGUUGGUCUUCAAGCUCAGUGCAAGUUGGUGGUAGUGUCCCUGUACUCCAUGUGGCCUGCUGCAUGCUCGUGCAGGGUUUUAAGAUCGGGUCCUGAGCUUAAAUACAUUUCCCCGGGGUGUGAGGCUAGUCCCUUCCUUAUAGCUUCAUAGUCUUUGAUGGAGCUGUGCCAUCUGAGAAGCCUGCCUCUGGAUUGGGGUUUUGGGGAAGGGGGGUGGGUGCCAAGUCUCACCAUGGUGUCAUUCCUGGGUCCUAUUGUGGGGGCCCUCUUACCAGCCUGCCCUCUCGUAGUUCAGAAAGCCCUGCCGGGGCAUCUGUUUGUCCUCUUGCCACUUUGUUUCUGGGUCCUCCUUCAUCUUUCCUAUGUUCUAUCAUGUUCUGUCGCCAGCACUCUCCAAGUCUCAUUUACUACAGAUCUUUUGACACCGGUCAUUCUUUUAAGCCCAAAGACCGUUUGUGAAGUGGACAGAGCUAUAACUGCUGCUGUUUGUAGAGUUUUGUGUCACACUAUUUCCUUUUUUAACGUUUACAUUGUUGGUGAAUUUUACAUUGCGCACCCGGUCAUGCUCACUUCCCAGUCCUCCCAGGUGUGCCUCCCCACCUUGUGACCACCCCCUAAAAAAGAAAAACAACUCCAAUUUGUGUUGCCCAUCCUUACUGAAGCACAGGCAAACUCCCAGUGACCAGCUCCUUAAGACUGAAUCCCUCCCCACCCCCACCCCCACCCCUGUCAGAAUGUAUACAUUUAAUACGCACAUCUUUCUAAGUGGGUUUUUACCUGGACACUUUCACGGCCUACCAUCUUAGUAAACAUUCUCUUUGUGGCUUACCUUACAAUAAUAGCACAGUUGGUUUCUUCAGUCACCAAACUCCUGACAUCAUUUCUCACCUGUUACUCUUAACUAGUCCAGAGAGGAAUUGAUCGUCAGACAGCGCAAAUUGGAUAAAGAAUGUUUUUCAUUUUCCUUUUUAUAAUUUCUAUUCCCACCGUGGAAGUGCGUUAAAGAUGGCUUCCACCGCAAGUGAGAAACUGUGGGAUCCGGCAAGACGAUAACUCUUUGAUGAUCUCAAAGAACUCUCUCUCUCUCUGCCUUCCAACAUCUCCUACAUUGUGAUUUCAGCAAAAAAGAAAAAAGAGGAAAAGAAAAAAAGAAAAGUAGGCUAGCCAAGAUGGCCAAGCGUGACAAUGGUGUGGAGAGGCCUAGCAGUGCUUCUGACCAUGGUUUGGGAGGCAGAGAAACCUGAAGGAUUCCUUAGAAGUCUCCAGCAGAGGGUUCAGCCAGUCCAUCUUGCUCACUUGUGCUUGUAAACAAAACAGUAUGAAAUGAGUUGGGAGCAGAUAGGCUUUGUCACUGAGGGCUCAUCUACAGUCUAUCCCCUGACUAUGUCUGGUCUUUAGGCUGCUUCCUCCAUUUUAUUUGUAAAUAUGAGGCCUAGAGUCCCAGCUCACUAAAGUGUGCGAAAUGUUUGGAAAUGUCUGGAGACUUUGAAAUCAGAAGGGAUCAGCUUUUCUAUUAUCCCCACCUGUUAAGUGUGUAUGCAACCUUGGGUAAAUUCUGGAAAGGCAGAGAGCCUCCUAUAGGUUUGCACCCACAAUGUAACAAGAACCCUGUGAGGAUUACCCUCACAGCAGGAAGGAGAGCAAGUCCUCAUUCCUGCCUCCCCUCUCUAAGAGUAACUGUAGCUUCUGAACCCCAGGGCUGAGCUGAAUGCCCCUACACCUUCCAGUCCUAGGACUCCAGGGCACUUAACAAAUCUCAUCUCUUCCACAGCAAUAAGGCCCUACUUGGGAAGACUGUUUUGUCAGGGACCUUUGGCCAAAGUUCUUCCUCCCCAACAGGAUCACAUACCUCCAAGACCACUUCUAAAUACCCUGCCCUCUUUUCUUUCCCUGGUUGUAACCCCAAUGGGUACCUUUCUACUGUGGCCCUCCCCUCACUCUCACAAACACAGACCCUAACAGACUUUGGCAGUACAGAGCUCAUUACCUGCUGCAAAGGUGAUUCCCUUUCCUGGGAGUCUUACAGUCAAAUGUCACCCCACUUCAUCUUUGGGGCUUACUUCUCCCUAGCACUUUUGGGGACAGGGACAGCUUCUUUACCCUCUCCAAGUCCAAUCUGUUCCCUCGUGUCCUCUAAAAGGUCUGUUGACAGGUGUGUUAAGUCUGAGAGGGGCACCUCCGGGUGUGCGGAGAAGCCGAGUACUUGCAUUCCCUGUGACAAAUGUGACGAUUGAUGGGUGAAAAGAAGUGAUAACUAGUGGGACCGGAGACUAUUUCAGGUUUUUUUUCCUGGUAAAACAUGUAUUCAAUCGUUUCUAUUGCAAGUGUCAGGAACUGGAGAGCAUUAUGGUGAUAGAAAAAUACAUGACUUGUAAAGGAACGAGAACACACUGAGGAGAAGGAAAGUCAAACUUUAAGGGUAUAGUUAUCAAAUAAAUGGUAAACAGAAGGCGGGAUGAAAGACGUAGAAAACCAUGUAUUGAUUUCCUGACAUUGCAAACAGCUGGGUUUUCCUUUCAAAAGAACUUGGGAAUAGGUCAACUUUGAGAAGAGCUAUAGUUUAAAUAAAAAUGCUUCUGAAACAAAAUAAAUGAACAAGAGCAAAUAUGCUUGUAUGCACAUAUACAAGAAGAUGGGGAUCUUAGGGUAGGAUGAAGAUACUAUAUCCACAACUUACAUACACAAGACAGCAUAUCGGCUACCUGUAUUACCCAAAACUGUUUUUACAUUCAAAGAGCUUUGGAAGGAACAGGGAAGAAGCAAAAGAUAGAGAUACGCAUAGUCAGCAACAUAUACACGGGAUAAUUUGCAAGCUGAGAAGUUAUGGGGUUGAGAGGGGAAGCAGUUCACAUAAGAUUGGCUUUAUCCAGGUCUCUUGCCUUAAUUGGAGCCACCAGAAUGGUCCUUGGAAGAGUCCCUACCCAACUUCAUAAAGCCUGGAAGUCCCAGGGAAAACAAUGUCUAAGGAUUUAUAUCUAAUGAAGCCCACAGAUCCUCCAAGUGAAGGAGAGAAGGGUCCAUAUUCCAAAGAAUGAUGAAGGGUGGGAGCCAUCAGUAGGGAAACAAGUCUUGAGGAUGAGUUCCGUUGACAGGAAGGACGUGUGGAAGAGACAAUAGGCAACACAAUACACACGGAGGUUUUUCUUACUCUAGGACUAUGGGGUGGAGUCAUGUAAGGAAGCUGUGUAGGGCUCAAUGAGCAGAAAUCAGAAAGUGGCUUUUGUGUGUGUGGGGGUGGUUGUGGUCAAGUUUUCCUAUCACUGGGAAUGGUGUUUGUGGAGGACAGGGCACAGCACUUUUCAGGGAAACCCAGAUUUCUUAUAGAGGUGGUAUGAUAUUUAGUGACUAAAGCUUGAGGCAGAUGUAAAAGCGUUUAACCCAUUCUACAAACAUAAUACAUUCUGAUAAAGUGAACAUUUUAUCUCUUGGAAACUAGAAAGGAAGGGAGUGGGGGAAGACCAGGGAAUGAAGCUUAAUGGCAACCUAAAACAUUGGGCUUGAUAUCCAGCAUUGGAGGGUGCAGGGGAGAAGCAAAAAUAUAGACACAUAUAUUCAACAAUAUAUACAGGAAAGUUGGUAAGUUGAGAGAGGAAAAGGUGUCCCAAAGGUUAGCAUUCAGUAGAGGAGAGGAGAGGAGAGAAUAUAAGCACAGUGCCAGGCAUGGGAAUGAAGGGUGCAGUAUUGGGAUAGGGAAAGCAGCAAAGCCAUCAAAUGGGCUGGGGCUUCUAGAGACUGUGCACCUCCUGGACAAAGGGAUAAAAAAGCCACAGUCUAGAAUGUGAUGAGGAAUGAGAGGCAGAAAGUAGAGAGUGUCACAUGUCACAACAGGCCACCAACAUGCCAGGUCUAGGAAACUUCUGACUUAACUGACCCGUGUAUCCUCUUCCAACUUGGGGGUUGGCUUUCUGGCCACAGCAGUCCUUCCUUCCCUUUCUUUAUUGGAAAUUGAAGUAGGCUCUAGGCCAUGUUCCAAAGGAUCUGACUGGAGAGGCAGCUUUAGAAAAGUAACUGAAAACGUUUUGCUCAGGAGCAGCUGGGUGGCACUGGGUGAGAGAGUCUUAAAACAAACAAAAUGUCUGUGUCCCAUUUUCCUCAACUGUAAAAUGAAUUAGCAAUGCCAAGAGAGGCCCUAGAGAUGUUGGACAGGUAAAAGGAGGAGCUCCGUAGAUGAAGACUGCAAGGUGUUAGCUGAUUCCUGGUUAUCAAUGUUGAUGACAUCAUUUCUUAAUCCAGUCUCUCAGCCACAAUCCCGGGACCCAUUGUGAUGUCAUAUACUUUCAAAGACCCCAUGACAGCUUCUCUUACUCCCUGGAGAGAAGAUGACUUGGAACAAAGGGUCUAAAGACAAGUGUGAGCCAUCUGGGAGGUGUCUGUGCCGGAAGCCUCCUGCUCCGUGAAAGCUCGCCAGCUCUGCUGUACUCUUGCAUCACUGAGUUAUACUGCACCAGAGUUGUUGGUGUCACCUGUAGGACUAACUUGGACCUUCUUUCCAAGGCUGUUCUAAAGGCCAGCUAUGCAAUAGGGAAGUCUAUUUGGGGUGUUUUCAUGACCCAUUAGCUGCCCCCGUCCCCUCUUGCUUGUGGGUGGUCACUAAAACCUGGGCCCUCUUCUUUCCAAAUGUUAAAAUCUUGCUUUUUCCUCCUGCUUCUUCUGUGGGGUUCGCAUGGCUCAUAUCAAAGGUAUGAAAAAGUCUGAGCUUGAAGUUGUCCUCGGAUUCCCACUACGUAUUCCCACGUUAGUAGGGAAUCCCUUCACCCUCCCCUUGAAGAGAGCCCUGAAUGACUAGAGUUUCGUUUGUGUGGCAGAGGGUUCCUGCUUGCUGGGGAAGACUUUUGAAGACAACCUGAAACCUGAUGGAGGCUGAUGCUCAAAUUGAGGAUAUACCAAAUGUCACAAUGGUGGCUUCUAUGGUAUGUGCAUUUUUUCCUUCUUAUAGAACAAAAUACUCAGAAUAGGAAGAGACAAGAUGGAGAUCUGAGUUUGCUGGAGGAAGGGAAAAUAUUGUAGACAUUAAAAAUUGUGGACAGAAGUUUCUGGAAAGUUCCUGGAAGGCCAAGACUGAUGCCAGCCACAGCUGCAAGCCAUUCCUGCUCUUGGUUCAAAUCCCAUGAGGAGCUUCAAUCUCCUCUGAUCCUCUUGCCACUCAACCCAUCCCCAUGAAGGUUGGCCUCCAUGAGAGAGAGAGGGGCACACUGGAGGUAGUUUGAGUGCAGUCAGGUUAGAAAUGAAAGAAUGAACUGCCAGACGGCUCUUGCUGAAUGGGUGGCCAUACCCAGCACCACUGUCCAGAAGCCCUAAGACCCUUGAGGAUUUUUAUGACUCUCAUGGGGAUAUCUGAAUGCUGAGAGCUUGUUAAUUAGUGUAUGGGUCCUCCACUCUGGUCUUAGACCCAGACCUCAAGAAAGUGGUUUCUUCUAGAAGUGUCUAUUGUGUUGACUACAGUUGGUUUAAAGGGGCAGGCAGAGAAAAUUAAGUUCUUACGGAACCUCCUACCCAAAAGGGGACAGCCUAGAAAAUAAUAUCCAACUAACAACUCAGAAGGCUUAGUAGCUGAGAACUUGAACUUGGCCUACAUCAUCCUAUAGAGGAUGUGGCUUAAAAGAUAAGCUGACUGUAGAGUGAGUAGUGCGAGAAUUCUGACGAGAGGCAUAGGCCACAGACAGUGGAUGAGAGUUCAAUUUCACACUGAGUAAUGCAUUCAGAGUAGUAGUAAAUCUUGGACAAAGAUGAUUCCUUGUGUCUUCGGGGAGCUUCCGGUCUUCUGGCUACAGAUUUACUAUUUGCCAGAGUGGGCUGGGGCCACCAGAAGACAGCCUUAGUUUCCCAGCUGCCUUUGAAGCCCAGCCUGGGAGUGUCUUGUGUCCUGUCUCUUCAGGCCUCACUGCCCUAACAAGCCUCAUGGGUAGCUUCUGUCUCAUUUCCUUUCUGUCCCUCUGCUGUCUAACUGAAGCACAUGCUUCGAUGACACAAUGCCACCACCACAACCAGGACUGGGAGUGGAUAACAGUUUGCUUCUGACUUCAGUCUCUUGCUCAGUGGUACAAAUAACUUUACUUUCAAAUACGAUAAGAGAGUUUGACUUUAGAGUUCAACUGUUUUGAGAACUACAUGACUCUCUGAGGACUAUCUCACAAUGUCUGACAUGCCCUUUGUGUUGGACCUUGGAAUCAUGGAUGUUGCCCUGGAUCUGGGUGUGAGACUGUCGAUAGGCUGGAGUUGGGGGAGUCCUAAAACAAGACUAGACAUUGGAUCUGAGAGGAGCCUUGUGGCAGCUGAAUGCCCUUCUCUAAAAGGAAGUCAGGAAGUGACCAUGAACAUAGGCCCCUGAUCAUAAGUGGUGAUGAGAUUUGGAUGAGGCCUGAAACAAAGGAGAUGAGGCCAGUUUGAAAGGACAGAGUGUUAGAGUCACUUCCAGCCCAACUAGAAGUUCCCAGUGAGAGUCGUGUCCUCUCCACUUGGUUCUUAGAUCUCUGUGUUGAGCACAAGUUCAGAGACCCAAGAGAACAAGCAAGAGCAACAGAGAAGGGGGUGUCAGUGUACGGGGGGAGGUGACACACAUUAGGAGAGAGUGCUGGACAAGGUUAAGACUGAAGGGAACGGGGACAAGGCUGGCAGAGCCCUCAGCCCGGUUUUUAGCACGGCAAGGAACACGGGAUGCUCUUCUCUUUGUGUCUCCCGCUCUUCAGCUUGUUUUCCCUCUCCCAACUUCAAACCCAUCCUUACCAGCCCACUGAUUCCCUUUUUGCUUUAAACUCAAAACUCUUGCUCUUUGGAGAGUAACUUACUCUUGGGAGAUUAGGAUGAGGAUGAGUUUCAGUUGCAAGGAUAGCUUGUUGACCUCAGGAACCAUACAUUUUGUUGAGCCUCCUGAGAGCCCAUUAUUGAGGUACGUCCUUACCCUGUUCCGUCCCCAAACUGAGCAGGCUCUGGUUAACCCAAGUCUAAGAAAAGGUCUGAAAAGGUUUUAGACUUUAUGGACUUGAGAAAAAUCAGUGACUAGAAAAUAGUUCCAAUGUGUCCAAAUGUAGCAUCUCUCCAGGUUGGGAUCAGGGCCACUCUAGAGAUUAUCAGUGUCUUUUGGAGCACACACAGAAUGAUGGAGAUGCAAGUGCUACCUAAAUGCCAAGAACAAUGAUGAGGGCCGGACCACAAGGGCCGGAGAUUUGAAGCUGUGGAGAAAGCUACUGAAUUCCUUUCUACAUCCAUGGGGUACUGUACACAAAACAGUUCCCUUUCAAAGAGAACUUAGGAAGCAGUUCACCAAACCAGGAUGUGAAGAUACAUAAAACAGUACCAUAUGAAUGAUACAGAUAACUGUGUAUUAGUUCUGUUGCUGUCAUAAAAUACCACAAGGCAACUUGUGUGUGUGUGGGGGGGGGGUAGGCGUCUAUCUGAGCUUACAGCUUCUGAGUCCAUCAUGGCAGGCAGACGUGGCAGUGGGUGGCAGCCAUGAUGUGGCAGACUUAGGAAGCUGAGUAUUCACAUCUUCAAUGGGGAGAGAGAGAGAGAGAGAGAGAGAGAGAGAGAGAGAGAGAGAGAGAGAGAGAGAGAGAGAGAGCCUGAAGGGGCAUGAGUCUUUACCUUCUCAAAGCCUAUGCCCAGCAACGUGCUUCCUCCCGCAAAGCUGCACCCUCUAAACCUCCUCAAACAGUGCCACCAACUGAGGACCAAGUAUGCAAAUAGUGGAGCUCCUGGGAGACAUUUCUCUUUCACACUAUCACAACAGUCUCUUCUGGAGACCAGAUCUCUACCAUUUAAACUGAGAAGCUUGGAGUGUCUGGCUGUAACCCACUGCCUUAAUUUAAUCCCUAGAAGGAGCUAAAUCUGAAUGUCAGAAACCAUCAGCCAAGUGGCUCAGCUUCUCAGAGCCUCUUACCGCUUAGAUCUGGGGUUCUGAAAAGAGGAAAGGCCUUUCUAUGCUGCUUCUUCCUCAGACUGUUUCCCUCCCCCAGGCUUCUCAGAACCCUCCCCACUCUCAGAGGGUCUGAGUCUCAGGCACACGGCAAAACCUCACUGCCCAAGACCAGAGGCCACAACUUCUGUCUGCCUCUUGUCCUGCACCAAAAGUGCAUGUCCUUUCCCUAACACUUUGCAGUGCUUUAGAAAAUGAAUUUCAACAGAGAUGGCAAGGUAUUUCCUGAGGCCGGAAUCAAGGAUGACGGAGACAUGGCCCUGCCAUGUGAACCUCUUUGGAGGUAAUGGAACUGAUCUCAGGGUGAGGUUGGACCUUAGGAAGUUGCUUAGUAGCCUCUAAAUGAAAGCUAGUUAGGGGCAUUUGGUACUGUCAGCUAUCAGCUUCUAGGGAAGAGACCGUCAGAGGGGAUCUUUUGGCUCUAAGGAAAGAUGCAUUUUGGGUUCCUAAACGAUAAAGCCUGGGGAUGCCUCUCUUAUGAUGGGGCGAAGGGGUACCUACAAGGUUAGAUUGUCUUCCAGUAACCAGUAGAUCUGAAGAGCAAUGAGAAAGAUCCAAGGAGAUGGGGAAGGUCACAGGUAUGGUCACUUUGGGGGUGGGGGUUGUGCACGUGUGCACAUGUGCAUAUGGAGAUCAGAAGUUGAUAUCGGGGGUCUUUCUCAAUUGUUUCCCCACACUCACUCUUUUGAGACAGGGUCUGGGACUCAUCACUGGCUACGAUGACUGUCCAGCAAACCCCAGGGAUCUUUCUUCCUCUGCUCCUCAAUGCUGGGACUAUAAAUUAGCAUCCAGCUUUUUAUGUGGGCACUGGAGAUGCGCUCAAGUCCCUCGUGCUGGCACUGCAACUUAGUUAACUGAGCUAUCUCCCCACCCCUGCACAUGGUCACUUCUCAUCCACGGUGGGAGUGCACGGAGAAAGGGUGGGAGUGAAGAGGGGCCUUGCCCAUGGCAAAGUCUGAUUGUGCUUAUCUUGGCUACUCGUCCACCCACCGGCUCCCCCCUAGGGAUCCUACCUUGCUGAAAAGAAAACAACAACAACAAAAAACAAGAUACAAAAUAAUUGACCAAACCAGAAAACAUUAGGGAACUAGAUUAACUAUGCAAGAAGUGAGGGAGAGAGUUACAAAUGUGUAGCCAGAAAAUAGGGGCAUGAAGUAAAUCCUGGAGAAAGCCCUCCAGGGCAAUGAAGUGAUGCUAAAUUGAAGAGUGAAGUGUUCCCUGAAAGAAGGACAAAAGCAAGAAUAGGGGAAAGUAAUGCCAAGGUCAGGAGAAGCCAUUCAACGGGAACAGGUCUCACCUUUUAUUUCUCUUUCUGCUCCCUACGCCUUCCUCUGGACCCUCAUGCUUUAAUGCUCAAUCAAGUCAACAUUGAGAGCCUGACUCUAGACAGAGUGAGGCCAGAAACAAAGGGAGACAGGAUGAUGAGCCUGACUCCUUGCUCCUAAGUCUCCUUCCUGCUUAAGAGUUUUGCGGAAUUGUGAACUUGAGGGUGUCCUACACAUGGCGAGGGUCACAACAACACACCUGUAUCUCUGUUGUCCUUUUCUGGGACAUGUUGCUGUCUGCCCUCAUAUCACAGAGAGAUUGACAUCAGUCAUCCACCAUUUGUGUCUACAGCUGCCUAUUGGUUGAGACUAGUCUAAGGACUAUUUUAGGAGUCCAGAGAGGUAGGUAAUGGCUAAAGAUUCAGACCCAUAGUAAGUCUCUGGCUUGACCAAAAGUAUAAGCUGGAUGUUUUUGGAUUGCUGGGCCAGAGGCCAUGUCUUCAUACAUGCCCAGGUAUUACAGGAGGAAGAACAGUGUCUCCUUCACCUCUCCAGCAUCAGUGUCUAGUCAAAGAAUUAACACAUGCAAAUGGGGUGGGUUAGUUAGCAAACAUUUAACAAGAGACAUUUACCACCAAAUGGCAGGUCCUGGUCCCAUCUUCUGUGGAACUUGUCCCCUUUGUUGUUGAUGGCAUCUCCUGGCCUCCAUUGACAGCUUUUCCCACAAUGUGCCCUAGAAUGUAUGAAGGCUGGGUGCUAUAUGCCAGGGGUAUCUCAUGAUGUCAGCAGUUUCCAGAGCAAGCUCCUUUCAGGGACACUGCUCCACUAGUUGGCCUGACAUAAUUCCUCCUGAACUAGCAGACUCCUAGUCUUGGCAAGAGACUACCUAAGUAGAAAAUACACAACAAGAAACCUUCCCACACUUGCCUUCCCUGGUUGUCACCCAAGAGAGGAUUAGGGUCAGUCCUUUUCCUGCUACCACAAGGGCAUGUCUGGAAUGACUCCAGAAUCUUGGAGAGGGGUUCUCACUCUGCCUCCUUUUCUAUACACCACUCUCUCCCACCAUUGGCAUCAUGGCGCUGUAGAUAGAGGGGCUUUUUCUCUUGAGCUUCUAUGAAGUGUGGUUUAUUCCCUCACUCACCCCAGGCCUCUCUCUCAUCAAUGCUAAAGCACUUCCCAAGGCCUCCAUUGACUGAGCAAGUGCCUUCACGUUUUGCCUUGGCCUCUCUUGCCAAAGCCCUGGAGAGGUGCCAAGCAGAACACACCAAGAUUUUUUUUUUUAAAAAAGAUCUAUCAUCCCUCGUUUUGACAUUCAGCCUGCUGCCCAAGAAGAGCAUGAUGGCCAAGGGGAAUAUUGCCCGGGUCUCCAGGGACUUAGUCAGUGUCUUUAUUCAGAAAUAAGGAAACCAGAAAUACAGAUGGACUGUGGGCAGUUUUCCCUGCCUGACUUGGGGUAUGCCAAGCUAUAUCCCUAGAGCAUGGUUGGACCCUCCCAACCCUGAACUUCUCUAAAUGUGUAACAAGGCUUUCUUGCUCUUUUACCUCCCCCCUGGUCUCUCUCUUCCAUGCUCAGCUAGCGUGUCUCCUCCUCCUCCCCAUAAUAUCUGCUUGAAGCUUUCUUGGAAAGAGACCAGAUACUUGGUACUGGAGUCAGAGAGCCCUGUGAGUUUGAGCUUUGCCUGCCAUCUGUAUCCUGGGACCGUGUGGGUUGUUGCCCAAGGUUGAUAGAGACCCACACAUCCUUCUUUCUUGGAGAAGAGCUGGUAUCUCUCUUGACAUCUUCAGCUCAUGGUUAGGUUUUGAGGUUCAUCUCUUCUGCUUUGGGACAUGCAACUUCUUUGGUUGAUGGUAUGUCUAGCCGCCUGGCCUUGGAGUAGGGUCUGCUAUAGACUUCUCUGGAGUUUUCUUGUCUCUACCGGCUCCACUAUGAUCUCUUUUGAGAUCUCCAUCACCUUGAGCCCAGGGUCUUCAUGUUUAGCUCUUCCUCUCUUGAAACAACCUCUGGUUAUUCUUUGGGAGAUAAUCCUAGAGUGUUCACUGACGGGGGGGGGGCAUGGAGCUAGCUGAUGAUUGCUCUUUUUUGGUUGUUUAUUCUUCUAAACUAUUUCCCAAGGAAGGAUACUGUGACCAUGGCAGUAGCCUGACUUUUUCUAUUGGAGAAAGGUUAACGUCUGACAUAUGGAUGGCUUUUGGUUGGUGUGAGAAUUAGGCUCUGGUAGGAAGGGUACCUCAAAAUGAUGAUGGGGGUGGUGGUGGUGGUGGUGGUGGUGGUGGUGGUGUGUGUGUGUGUGUGUGUGUGUGUGUGUGUGUGUGUGUGUGUGUGAAGGAGGAGGUCUAGUGAUGUGUACUUUAAAUGAGGCUCAACUUUAUCUUUCCAGGGGCUCUAAGUCCAGUGACAUGGUGCCAACUGCAAUGUCUGACAACUCUGGCAGAGAUUAGGUCACUUUAGACUAUGUAAAGCAGGGAACAGAGAUACAAGCAUUUCACGUUUUCAGUCCUUUGUUAAAAGGAACACUAGGACCAGGUUCAAACUGUCACCUCCCCUUUGCUUCUGUCCCCUUUUCAUUCUGUGGCCCACAAAGUUGGGCCUUUCUUCUCAACCUUUCUCUUUGAGUCAUUCUAGAUUUUCCUAAAUAAAGGUCAGGCAAACAAUGGAAGAGGCAAAUGUUGUUACGGUUCUCAAAUACCCAAGGGAGAAAGUAAAAAAAAGAAGCAAAUAAAAGCUUAGCUUGAGUUUCCCAGAACAGCUAGAGUGGAUAGGUUCCUGGAUGGGAAAGUGCAGGGGGGGCAAAAUGGGUCUCUCCACAGUAGUUCAGUAAAUUGCCUCUCUGAGCUUCUUCCCUUGUCUCCUUAUCUGAAUCUCUAUAAUGACCCCUAAUAUGUGUAAAGAGGAAACGACCCAACAAUCAGCAUCUGUCUGCUUGCCUGCAUUGUCAUAGAAAAAAGAGCUAAGCAAGGAAAGGGGUUUUUUAGGGUGGCAUUUUGAAGCAAGAAGAUAAAGGAUUAUCUGUAGCAACAUUUAGGGGGAGGGGGACAUAGAAUUCUUACAAGAGUUUGUCUAUGCUUGAGUGACACUGUUCAGAUCCGAAGGACUCGGUUGCUCUAGAAAAUGUUCUUAAACCAAUCCUCUGCACAUUAGCUACAGGAAGGAUGACAGAAGUCCAAGACAUCAGAGGGAGAGAAUUGUCGUGCUCCCCGCUCCCCUGACUCUUAGUGCAAUUUUAGAAGUUAGCUGAGCGUACUGAGAGCCAGCCUGGCUAGUCUCAGAUUAGACUUCAUUUAAAAGAAAAAUAUUGAUGCAGCAUGGCUGCUUUCAUAGGGAGCUCAAUAGCUCAUUUAAAAAAAAAUUAGUGAAGAAUUUUCAGGAUGCAGAAAAGACCUUUGAAAGGUAUGGCCCUGCCACAGAGCCAGCUCCAGUCCCCCAGGAGCUGCCAUGAUUCCAAGCAGCCCUCUGUGCCUCUCUAAGAAGUUCAGAUUCUCGGGGGACUUCCACAUCUCUCCCACCCCACCCCCACCAAGGAAAAGAUAGGUGAUACCACUUUGACAGCCCAUGAAUCACUAAUAUGGGCCUUCUGCACCUUUACAGGGUCUUGCUUGGGGACCUCCCACAGUUCACUGCAGAAGGUAUUCUAGAGUGCCUAGAAUGCCCUCCCCACCCAUCCACACUCCCUCCAAAAGACCACUGCAUCCCACAACUUGCUCUUUACUGAGUGAGGAAACACAAAAUACAGACAUUGGUUCUAUUCCCUGUAUACCAACCUUCUGAUUCAAGCGGUGUUCUCUCAACCUGGCAAAACCCGUCCCAAGUUGUUUCUUUAGACUGACCUGUGUCACCACCAAAGGUCUCUGAGAUGCUCUCAUAGGAUGUGCUAAUGGCCUUGACCUAUGGUUUCCCCUCGAUCUUUAGGGAGGUUAUGCCUUGACUUUUGACAUCAUUGAAUUCAUAAAUACAAACCAGGAUUCCAUCCAAUUCGGCCACGUUCUUUGAAAAGGCGACCAGAGUUUUGUUGGAGGUGCUCCUAGAAGUUGGCCCUCUAUUGCUGGGAGGUUCGGAGAUCUGUGUCCUUUCCCUGCCCCCUUCCCAUUUUUGAUGCUAUCUCAUUCUUCACAGUCACCUCUCCUGUGCCCAGAGUCUUUGAGUUAGCCUCACGCAGUUAUCAAAACUGGCUUUCACCCCUUCCCCACUUUAGGGAAGGGACCAGAUAAUUAAAGGGAAACACACCUGUUCCCGGAGCAUCUUCAUCCCCAACCUCUCCCUUAUCCUGCCGGAGCGGGAGUUUGGUGAUCAGCAGCCAGGCCUGAAGUAUAUAGGAGCCUGAGAGUGAUGAUCUUGGGGCAAAUGAAAAUGAGUGCACUUCUCAUAUCCCUGACUAUGGGUGCAUCUCUGGGGCAUCUCUUUGCUUUGGUAUCUGUCCCUCUACAAGGAGAGGGACUCAAAGGUUAACAUGGGGCCCAGACUAGUGGACAGCUUGUGAUUUUUUUUAUUUUUUUUUAUUUUUUUAUUUUUUUUAGUGAAAUAAGGAAGCUUGCUGGAUUGUCUGGUUCCUUAGCCCUGGUUCAUGUCUUCACUGCAGUGCUUGGACUCUGUUCACUUCUCCCUGAGAAGAAAACACUCUCAGCUCUCCUCUGGGGUCGGGACAGGGUGGGACAGGCUGG
ensembl:lncRNA